ACAAGCAGUGAGUGGAGAUGCAGCACUGUGACGCUUUCGACUACUGGGGUCGUGGGACUGAAGUCACAGUAUCUACAGGAACACCCACACCACCAACACCACCCACUCUGUUCCCUUUGGUUCAGUGCCAACCUGGGUCUGGAGAUAAAAUCACUGUUGGUUGUUUUGCACGCGACUUCUACCCAAAGAGUCUUACAUUCCAGUGGACCGAUGCCAGUGGGAGAACCCUGACUUCUGAAAAUUAUCCUCCAGCUGAGAAAAACAACAAAUAUACAGGAGUCAGUUUGGUCAAAGUAUCAAAAUCUGACUGGGAUUCAAGGAAGUCUUUUAAAUGUUCUGUAAAUCACAACGGAUCUCCCACAAAUCUGCAAGUGCAAAAGCCUCCUCCAAAAGUGACUUUGCUAUCAGUGCCAAGUGAAGACACCCAGGCCCUGGUGUGCACGAUUGAAUGUGGUGAUGGAAAACUUGACUCAUUCAAGUGGAAAAAGAAUGACGCAGAGUUGAACGACUACAUUCAAAGUCCCAUCCAAAGAACUGGAAACUUACAUUCAGCUGUCAGUGUCCUGAAGGUCAACAAUGCAGACUGGGACAGUAACGCUGUGUAUACCUGUGAGGUGACUUACAGAGGAACACAAUAUAAAAAGAAGGCCUCAAAAGCUCCUGUCACAGUGACUCUGAACCAACCCAGUGCCAAAAAAAUUUUUAACAACAAACAGGCAAAGUUGGAGUGUAUCAUUACUGGACAGGACGAGACCAUUGUUAGUGAAAUUCAAAUCACUUGGCAAAUUAAUGAACAAGAUGUGACCAACAACAUUGCUGAAUCAACAUCGUCCAGCGGCGUUCAGCACAGCAAAACCAGCAUGAUAACUCGUAGUCUGUCUGAGUGGCAGAGUGUCAACAAAGUGCGCUGUUCUGCUAUUAGAGACGAUAUGACUCCAGUUAUUCAAGAUCUGACUGUCCACAAAGGAGAAGGAAAGAAGCCAAACGUGACAGUCCAUGUCCUCCCAGAGGAGGACAUAAACAAAGGAGCUGUGGUCUCUCUGGUGUGUCUGGUCUCUGGUCCUGUGCUGCAGGAUUACUACGUCGCCUGGUCAGAAGGUACUGAAAAUAAGGCCGGCAUCUAUAUGGAUGGCAUUAACUUCCCCCCACAGAAGAUCCAACAUGGCUACUUAGUUACAAGUGUUUACACCACCACCAAGGAAAAGUGGGACAAGCACAACAUGUUCUACUGCAACGUCUGGCCUGCUGGCACCAAUGAGUCCAUGAAAACAUCACAUGGAGUGUCUAAGGCCCAGGGUAACUCAAUUGAAUGUGAUUAAUAGUAGAUUCAGCUUUGGUGGUAUUUUGUGCUAACAUGUUGCUCUGUCUCUGUGUGUACUCCGCCAUGAAUCUGUGCACUCUGUGAUGUCAUCAGUCUUUGUGAUUGUAAAAAUAAGUGUCAACAUGUUAAUUUAGUUUUGUUUGUCAUCAUAUUGUGUUUCUGUCUUUGUCACAUUGUCUAACAGCUUGAGAAGUGUGCUGACUGUUUCAAAUAAAUGUUGCAUGGAGA